AGAGUUUGAUCAUGGCUCAGAGCGAACGUUAGCGGCGGGCCUAACACAUGCAAGUCGAGUGCGCGCCUGUAGCAAUACAGGUGGCGCACGGCGCACGGGUGCGUAACACGUGGGCAAUCUGCCCUCGGAUGGGGGAUAACUCGCCGAAAGGCGAGCUAAUACCGCAUGACAUUCCUGGGACUCCGGUCCCGGGACUCAAAGGCCGCAAGGUCGUCUGAGGAGGAGCCCGCGCCCGAUUAGCUAGUUGGUGAGGUAACGGCUCACCAAGGCUUUGAUCGGUAGCCGGUCUGAGAGGAUGGCCGGCCACACUGGAACUGAGACACGGUCCAGACUCCUACGGGAGGCAGCAGUGGGGAAUAUUGCGCAAUGGGCGAGAGCCUGACGCAGCGACGCCGCGUGGGGGAUGAAGCUUCUCGGAGUGUAAACCCCUUUCGACCCGGACGAAUGACCCGCAAGGGUUUGACGGUACGGGUAUAAGAAGCCCCGGCUAACUACGUGCCAGCAGCCGCGGUAAUACGUAGGGGGCCAGCGUUGCUCGGAAUUACUGGGCGUAAAGGGUUCGUAGGUGGUGCGGCAAGUUGGAAGUGAAAUCUCUGGGCUUAACUCAGAGGCUGCUUUCAAAACUGCCGUGCUCGAGUGCGGGAGAGGCCAGUGGAAUUGCAGGUGUAGCGGUGAAAUGCGUAGAUAUCUGCAGGAACACCCGUGGCGAAGGCGGCUGGCUGGACCGCAACUGACACUGAGGAACGAAAGCUAGGGGAGCAAACAGGAUUAGAUACCCUAGUAGUCC
rnacentral:rRNA from 1 species